GCGUUCACGGCGUGGUCCUUGGU
rnacentral:miRNA from 8 species